AUUGAACGCUGGCGGCAGGCCUAACACAUGCAAGUCGAACGAGUGGCGGACGGGUGAGUAAUGUCUGGGAAACUGCCUGAUGGAGGGGGAUAACUACUGGAAACGGUAGCUAAUACCGCAUACCAUCGGAUGUGCCCAGAUGGGAUUAGCUAGUAGGUGGGGUAAAGGCUCACCUAGGCGACGAUCCCUAGCUGGUCUGAGAGGAUGACCAGCCACGCUGGAACUGAGACACGGGCCAGACUCCUACGGGAGGCGGCAGUGGGGAAUAUUGCACAAUGGGCGCAAGCCUGGUGCAGCAAAGCCGCGUGUAGGGAGAGGGCCUUCGGGUUGUAAAGUACUUUCAGCGGGGAGGCGUUACCCGCAGAAGAAGCACCGGCUAACUCCGUGCCAGCAGCCGCGGUAAUUC
rnacentral:rRNA from 1 species